rnacentral:lncRNA from 1 species
UAUUCCUUGACAACUCCAUGCUGAGGCACAGUAACAAAGAUGUUCUGCUGCCCAUUAGAGGCACCCAGCGAAUGGCAGGGGUGGAGACACAGGUUUCAGAAGUGCAUGCACACCUGAGAGGAGUGAGCUGACAGACCCUGAUAACGGAGGCAGCAAUUGUCAACGAAGAGAUGGCACUAAUCGUUAUUUGGUUUUGUCAGCAACACUGGGAUAUUUGCUGAACCGCUCAGGAGAUUUUCUUUCCCCCCAGCUUAGAAGAAACAAAUUUGAGCACUGUUUGGAAGAAGACGACAGCAGAGAGAUGGCAGGU